rnacentral:rRNA from 1 species
GUGAAUUGCCUAAGUUGGAACUGUUGAGGGGCGGGGAACCCUCGAACAGUUCGAGACCUUGCCGCACUUGUGGUCACCCAUUCCCCGAAGUUUGUUUUGUUGUGUACUAGACAGCCUAAAGAAAAAAUGUUUCAUCUUCGUUCUCGUUUAGGUCUUUCAGGUUUUGAAGGAGUUAGUAGUGAAGGUAUGAGUGGAGGUCUUGCUUUAUUUUGGGAUGAUUAUGUAUCAGUACAAGUCCAAGAAGUCAAUGAAGGAUGGAUUGAUGUGUAUGUCCGCGUUUCAAAUAAUGACCCACAAUGGCAGGUUACCUUUGUUUAUGGUGAGCAAAGAGUUGAGAACAGGCAGCUCAUGUGGGACUCUUUGCGGCGCCUCUAUGGAACUAGUGAUCUUCCGUGGAUGAUUGUUGGAGAUUUUAACGAAGCAAUGUGGGACUAUGAGUAUUUAUCAGAAACCCCGCGAGCUCCAGGACGAAUGCUUAUUUUCAGAGAUGCUCUUGAAACUUGUGGUUUGAUUGAUUUGGGUUUUGUAGGUUAUCCUUUCACAUAUGAUAACUGUUCUGACCACUGUCCGAUCCUUGUCCGAUGUGUCCAGGACACGGCGGCCAAACCUCAGCGCUGUCACCGGUACAAGUUGAUGUGGGAGUGA